CCUAGUGGCGGACGGGUGAGGAACACGUAAGAACCUACCCCUAGGAGGGGGACAACAACUGGAAACGGUUGCUAAUACCCCAUAUGCUGAGGAGCGAAACGGUGAAAACCGCCUAGGGACGGGCUUGCGUCUGAUUAGCUUGUUGGUGAGGUAAAUGCUUACCAAGGCAAUGAUCAGUAGCUGGUCUGAGAGGAUGAUCAGCCACACUGGGACUGAGGCACGGCCCAGACUCCUACGGGAGGCAGCAGUGAGGAAUUUUCCGCAAUGGGCGAAAGCCUGACGGAGCAAUGCCGCGUGGAGGAUGAAAGCCUGUGGGUCGUAAACUCCUUUCCUCAGAGAAGAAGAUCUGACGGUAUCUGAGGAAUAAGCAUCGGCUAACUCCGUGCCAGCAGCCGCGGUAAUACGGAGGAUGCAAGCGUUAUCCGGAAUGAUUGGGCGUAAAGCGUCUGUAGGUGGUUUCAUAAGUCCACUGUCAAAGAUCAGGGCUUAACCCUGGGCAGGCAGUGGAAACUAUGAGGCUUGAGUACGGUAGGGGCAGAGGGAAUUCCCGGUGUAGCGGUGAAAUGCGUAGAGAUCGGGAAGAACACCAAUGGCGAAAGCACUCUUGCUGGGCCGAAACUGACACUGAGAGACGAAAGCUAGGGGAGCAACUGGGAUUAGAUACCCCAGUAGUCCUAAGCCGUAAACGAUGGAUACUAAG
rnacentral:rRNA from 1 species